CAUCAGAAGCCGACUGCACGAGCUAGCACUCUCACAGAGGGCUGAUCAGUCCGAAGACUUCGUGUGGACCAUCCGUAGAGACUGGAUGCUUGUGCAGCUAUGAACAACUAGAGAGGGCUUCUAGAUCUAUGUUCUCAAUUGUGAAGAUCAACUAUCCAUGCUCAAGUAUUGGGUUUGGAACCCUAAAAAUGGUGGAUUAGAUC
rnacentral:lncRNA from 1 species